CUUCCAAGUCCUUUAGGCUGUGCAAGAAGCCCAGGAAAAAGGAAAAGUCUCUCUCUCCAUACAGGAUGCUGUCAUGCAUGAAGCCAUAUUGCCUAGCCCACCUCCCUCAGAAUGGCCUUUGCCAAUCCUGGAACGAACUUAGUGGAGGCAACACCCUGAUGACUCUUCAUGAAGAUUCAUAGCUUCAUCACGUAGUCUUGUAUCCUCUAGA
rnacentral:lncRNA from 1 species